CAGGGGCCCAAAAUAAAUUCAGCGUUAAGCCCCCGAAAGCCUAGAACCGGACCUACAUACACCUCUCAGGUGUGUGGCAUGGUGUUGCGGAAUUUUUCUCUCCAGCCAAAGCUAUUUUUUCAAGACCUGCUUUGAAUGCAUUGGCUAUCCAUCUCAAAUAAGUAUAUGCAGCCUAACACAUAGCCUAUACUCGUUUAUGUAUAAUGCGUAACGGGUUAAUUUACUAUUACGGACAUCGCGAACUAAACAGCAUUCUCUUUCAUUGUGAUUAUGUAGGCUAUCGGACAGCGGUUUUUGUUUAGGACUAUCGCGCUCUGGAGAUGACUUCUUUUUGGUGGAUUACUCGUUGAAAGAGCCGAUCUUUUCGAGCGCAACCAAACUGGUGAAUUGUUCAACAUCUUUCCGCUCCAGGAAACUGGAACUCAUGGCUUCGUCUCAUAAACUGGGUCAUCGGAGGGAUAUCAAUGCCUGGCCAAGAAUGUCUUCAACUUUUUGUGCUGCGGUGCUACUGACCAGCCUACUGAUAAUUUACUGUGAUGAUUACCUUCAUCCACAAACUUUGCUCAAAGUUUGUAAAGCCUGCAGCUCUUCGGAACCUGGAGCCACAAGAAAUCCACUAUGAGGAAUAGACAAACCAACUGCCAGGAGCAGAGCUGAAUGUUGGUUAAACAACAAGAUCCAAGAUUAACAGGCUUCUUGAGGCUGGAGACAUCCAAACUACCCUUCACAUAAUUUUAGGAAAUCUCACUCCAAGCUAUCUUCAGGAGUUGGCAGGCCUGAAUCAACCAAUCUGGAGGUUUCCUACUACCCUUACUAAGCAUAUCAGUGCUGUUCAUAACUAGAUUAAUUGGAUCAAGACAGGGUAAAUUAUAUAAAUCAUGGCCAGAAAUUGUUUUUGGUACUGCAGCACCGGUAGAAAAAAUGAAGAGAAUCCAAAACAUCACUUGUGACAACAAUCUGUUAAAAAUGAUUUGGACUUAAAGAGAACAAGAGAAGCUGGGGCAAGACACUGAUACUGGCCAAUCAUCACUAUAUACGUGUGUUUGUGUGUCUAUGUUCAUAAUAUGUAUAAGGAAAAUGUGUGAUUUACCAAACAAUUCUACAAGCAUUGUAGGAGAUGAUAAAUACCAAUUGUUCUUAGCCUCAGUGUCCCCUUGACAGUCUGUUGAGCCUCAGUGUUUGAAAACUUAGUUUUGCUGAAUGGCAUGUUUUAUCUGCUGAGCCAAUCUGUACUUUCUGCAAAAAUGGCCCAUCUGUAUCUGAAAACUCGGGAAAAUGAAUCAUGUGCCAAAUAUUUCAUCUGAGAAACCAAAGCAAUCUUAUAUUACAUUUCUCAUCUUCUGAGUCUACAGUAAUAUAUCAACAAUUGUUUUACACAUGGAAAUCUCAAUAGAUUUUUCAUGACAAAUGCACUGAAGGUAAAAUUAUUUGACAUACAUAUGUUAGCCUGUUAAGAAACAUUGCAAAGAAAAAACAAUCAAACUGAAGCCUAACUGAAUUAUUCUCACAAUUACAUGAACUUUUAAAAUAAUAUUCUGUAGCUCUCAAACGUAUUGGACUUCUCCACAUUUUCCAAUUGCUACAUGAAAUGAAAAUGGAUUUAAUCAGAAGAUUUUGCCAUCAAAAUAUUAACAAACUUAACAGAAUACAUCUGCAAAUUGUUUGAAAUGCAUUGCUUAUAUUAAACAGAAAAUAGCCGAUUUAGUAAGUAUUACUUGCCUUUACUAUGUCACCCCUGAACAAGCUGCUAUAUUUAGCACAACCGUAACACCCCACACACACCAUAGCUGCAGUUUUCACACUAAAUCGGGCUACUUUUCAAACAAUGUUGCGAUUUUUUGGCAUACUUCUGAACUUCACAGCAGCAGCACCUUUUCUGUCUUUAUAUUGCUAUAUUUAGUGUUUCUAUGCUGUUAUCACAUCAGACGUCAGCUACGGUAGGAUCCGCGGUUUCACCUGCGUAUAUACUGCAUCUUAUGUUGUGUUACGGGGGAUUUGGUUCACUUGUAAAAUAGUCUAUAUUGUGCACCAACAAAAGUUGGGCUAGUUUUCAGUCAUUUUGGGAUGGAUUUGAGCAGUCGUUGGGCCAGAAAUGUUUGCUUAACCCGGUUAAUACUGUCCUGAAAACCCCUAAUGCAGCGAGAUGCUUCUCUGGAAUGCUUAUCAGCAUGUAGUAGAUCAAAUGUUUAAAAAAAUAUACAUACAAGCUUAUUAUUGUAAUGUUUGACUACUUUAUAUUCAGUGUUACAAUAUUUUUAUUUUAUUUUUCCAACAGACUUU
ensembl:lncRNA